rnacentral:lncRNA from 1 species
AAAAUCUUCAGCUCCCAAAGCAGGCUGCUCUGUAGGAGGGAAAGAUGAAAAGUCUGAACACCUUGGAGAAUACCACUUGUGGAGGAGAGAAGCUGGCCCUUUACCUUGGCUAUUAGCACUUAUUCCUAUACCAUCAUCGAGAGAAAGAUAAGUCAGUUACUAAUUCUGUCUACUCCCUUCACCCCCAAUAAUUGACAAGAGAUCUCUUUGGAAACUCAACAUGAUACAGCUAGAUUCAGGUGAAAGACAGAGGUAGGUGUCAACCUUUUUCCUGCAAAUCUAUGCAAAUACUCUAUUGCCCCAUCCCUUCUUUAAAAUGUAACUGGAAGACACAAC